rnacentral:rRNA from 1 species
UGGGGAAUUUUGGACAAUGGGCGCAAGCCUAAUCCAGCCAUGCCGCGUGUCUGAAGAAGGCCUUCGGGUUGUAAAGGACUUUUGUCAGGGAAGAAAAGGAUAGGGUUAAUACCCCUGUCUGAUGACGGUACCUGAAGAAUAAGCACCGGCUAACUACGUGCCAGCAGCCGCGGUAAUACGUAGGGUGCGAGCGUUAAUCGGAAUUACUGGGCGUAAAGCGGGCGCAGACGGUUACUUAAGCAGGAUGUGAAAUCCCCGGGCUCAACCUGGGAACUGCGUUCUGAACUGGGUGACUAGAGUGUGUCAGAGGGAGGUAGAAUUCCACGUGUAGCAGUGAAAUGCGUAGAGAUGUGGAGGAAUACCGAUGGCGAAGGCAGCCUCCUGGGAUAACACUGACGUUCAUGCCCGAAAGCGUGGGUAGCAAACAGGAUUAGAUACCCUGGUAGUCCACGCCCUAAACGAUGUCGAUUAGCUGCUGGGCAGCUUGACUGCUUAGUAGCGAAGCUAACGCGUGAAAUCGACCGCCUGGGGAGUACGGUCGCAAGAUU